rnacentral:rRNA from 1 species
CGGAGGGUGCAAGCGUUGUCCGGAUUUAUUGGGUUUAAAGGGUGCGUAGGCGGUCUUUUAAGUCAGUGGUGAAAUCCUGCAGCUCAACUGUAGAACAGCCAUUGAUACUGAAAGACUUGAGUACAGACGAGGUAGGCGGAAUUUAUGGUGUAGCGGUGAAAUGCAUAGAUACCAUAAAGAACCCCUAUUGCAAAGGCAGCUUACUAGGCUGUAACUGACGCUGAGGCACGAAAGCGUGGGGAUCAAACAGGAUUAGAUACCCUGGUAGUCCACGCCGUAAACGAUGAUUACUCGAUGUUCGCGAUAUACAGUGAGCGUCCAAGCGAAAGCGUUAAGUAAUCCACCUGGGAAGUACGAUCGCAAGAUUG